UCCAGGUGUCUGUGAGGGUUGAUUGUAUAAGGUAGAAAAUUUUACUUGCUAGACCACCAAAGGAAGAGAUCCUCAAUCCCUCUUCUCUGAUCCUCCACCCUCGGAAUGUGCCUCAUCACCAGCCUUUUCUAGCCACCCGGCUUCUUCCAAGUGCAAUGACCUACUUUCUAGUCACUGUUGUUGGCUGUGCUUCUACAAAGAGAACUUGACCUUUGCCCUGGAAAGGCCCAGAACAACAACAACAAAAAAUGGUUAAUGGGGAGCCAAUAUAUAAAGGAGAGCACUAGAUGUCCAUGAUGAAUUCAAGUCACCUGGCACAGACAAACUACAACCUUAGAUACUGGGCUUCAAGUUUCCAAAUCUGAUAGGAUAUCCCAUUUGAACAAAGGUGAGAUUCAUGGAUCCUGGAGAGGGAUGUCCCAACAGACAGAUUUCCAGAUGACAGAGUAUCUUGAGUUGGAAGUGUGCAGGUGACCUUGUGAGUUCUAAAAGGAAAUAUGAAAUGAUUUGAUUCUGCUUCCAAAGCCUGCAGUAAAAAUACAUGGAAAGAAAAUGCUAAAUCAGAAUUUGCACCUAAAUCUCCAAAAAAGUUGCAGCCACCUGUUCAACAACUCUUGAGAUUGUUCAAUCAGCUUGGUAACAGAAGUAAGCAUAAUUUCCUAUUCAGACGUUGCAGAGUUCUCCCAUUAUUACCCUAUCUUUCACUUACAGUUUUAGAUGGUUGCCUUGGUCAAAUUUGUUUCUUCUGUUAUAAGGACAGAGUGACCCCCAACUCACAUCAUAAUGAAGGGGAGGUUAUAGGGAAAAUAUCUCAUGCAUGUAUCAGCAGCCAGAAGCCACAGCUCCAAGAUAAUGAGCUCCCUUCCUCUACUGCCAGUUCCUGCUUCUUUCUUUCACAUCUCUCCAUUUGGAAAUUGGAACCUUCGUCUAGACUUUUCUGGUCCCUGACCCACUGAUCAUGAAUAUGGGAGAGCAAAGUUUUGAACAAGUUCAUUUUUUGGACCUGAGGUACUUCCCAGAUAGGUCUCUGCUUCUAUCUAGUGGCCAUUGGGUGGUGUUGCAAGCCAUCCGCAAAUAGCCCUGAUUUAGUUUUGAAUUUGAUUGUAAAUUUCUUUUUUUUAACUAUUGAAUUAAGGAUAGACAAACUAUGGCUCAGUUA